GGACGUGAGGGCAACCUGGCUGUGAUGUCUGGCACCCCACUGAUCACCAGGGCUAUUGGCUGAUCUGGCCAGCUGGGUGGGUGUCUACUUCCUCCCUCACUGCUGCAUGUGCAUCCGUCCUGAAGGUCUGCCCUGGGUCAAAGACGAUGACAACCUUCCCCCAUAGAGGAAGGUCCUUCCAUCACGGGCAGAAGAGAAGCUAUGCUCCCCUACUAGAACCUCCAAACAAGCCCGCAAGAAUGCUUCCUGUAGUACCCGGGACAUACGCUGUCUGUGAUUGUCUUAAGAUUCUGCUUACUCCUUGGCACACAUCU
ensembl:misc_RNA 7SK 7SK RNA